rnacentral:rRNA from 1 species
CCUACGGGCGGCAGCAGUGAGGAAUAUUGGUCAAUGGUCGGGAGACUGAACCAGCCAAGCCGCGUGAGGGAGGAAGGUACAGAGUAUCGUAAACCUCUUUUGUCAGGGAACAAAGACUGGGACGCGUCCCCGGAUGAGUGUACCUGAAGAAAAAGCAUCGGCUAACUCCGUGCCAGCAGCCGCGGUAAUACGGAGGAUGCGAGGGUUAUCCGGUUUUAUGGGGUUAAAGGGGUGCGCAGGCGGUCUGUUAAGUCAGGGGUCAAAGCCCGGGGCUCAACCCCGGCCCGCCGUUGAAACUGGCAGUCUCGAGUUGGAGAGAAGUAUGCGGAAUGCGCGGUGUAGCGGUGAAAUGCAUAGAUAUCGCGCAGAACUCCGAUUGCGAAGGCAGCAUGCCGGCUCCACACUGACGCUGAGGCACGAAAGCGUGGGUAUCGAACAGGAUUAGAUACCCGAGUAGUC